ensembl:snoRNA
UGAAUCGAUGACUACUGGUGAUGUCUGAGUUGUGUACGAUGAAUAUGUAUCUGGAACUCUGAGGUCCAG